rnacentral:rRNA from 1 species
GAUGAACGCCGGCGGCGUGCCUAAUACAUGCAAGCCGAGCGAACAGACGAGGAGCUUGCUCCUUUGACGUUAGCGGCGGACGGGUGAGUAACACGUGGGUAACCUACCUAUAAGACUGGGAUAACUUCGGGAAACCGGAGCUAAUACCGGAUAAUAUUUCGAACCGCAUGGUUCGAUAGUGAAAGAUGGCUUUGCUAUCACUUAUAGAUGGACCUGCGCCGUAUUAGCUAGUUGGUAAGGUAACGGCUUACCAAGGCAACGAUACGUAGCCGACCUGAGAGGGUGAUCGGCCACACUGGAACUGAGACACGGUCCAGACUCCUACGGGAGGCAGCAGUAGGGAAUCUUCCGCAAUGGGCGAAAGCCUGACGGAGCAACGCCGCGUGAGUGAUGAAGGUCUUCGGGUCGUAAAACUCUGUUAUUAGGGAAGAACAAACGUGUAAGUAACUGUGCACGUCUUGACGGUACCUAAUCAGAAAGCCACGGCUAACUACGUGCCAGCCGCCGCGGUAA